rnacentral:rRNA from 1 species
AUUGAACGCUGGCGGCAGGCCUAACACAUGCAAGUCGCGCGAGCGGCGGACGGGUGAGUAAUGUAUGGGAACCUGCCUGAUGGAGGGGGAUAACUACUGGAAACGGUAGCUAAUACCGCAUACCAUCAGAUGAACCCAUAUGGGAUUAGCUUGUCGGUAAGGUAACGGCUUACCUAGGCGACGAUCCCUAGCUGGUCUGAGAGGAUGAUCAGCCACACUGGGACUGAGACACGGUCCAGACUCCUACGGGAGGCAGCAGUGGGGAAUAUUGCACAAUGGGCGCAAGCCUGAUGCAGCCAUGCCGCGUGUAUGAAGAAGGCCUUCGGGUUGUAAAGCACUUUAAGUGGGGAGGCGUUACCAACAGAAUAAGCACCGGCUAACUUCGUGCCAGCAGCCGCGGUAAUAC